GAUGAACGCUGGCGGCGUGCCUAAUACAUGCAAGUCGAGCGAACAGACGAGGAGCUUGCUCCUCUGACGUUAGCGGCGGACGGGUGAGUAACACGUGGAUAACCUACCUAUAAGACUGGGAUAACUUCGGGAAACCGGAGCUAAUACCGGAUAAUAUAUUGAACCGCAUGGUUCAAUAGUGAAAGACGGUUUUGCUGUCACUUAUAGAUGGAUCCGCGCCGCAUUAGCUAGUUGGUAAGGUAACGGCUUACCAAGGCGACGAUGCGUAGCUGACCUGAGAGGGUGAUCGGCCACACUGGAACUGAGACACGGUCCAGACUCCUACGGGAGGCAGCAGUAGGGAAUCUUCCGCAAAGGGCGAAAGCCUGACGGAGCAACGCCGCGUGAGUGAUGAAGGUCUUCGGAUCGUAAAACUCUGUUAUUAGGAAAGAACAAAUGUGUAAGUAACUAUGCACGUCUUGACGGUACCUAAUCAGAAAGCCACGGCUAACUACGUG
rnacentral:rRNA from 1 species